CGGCCUCGAGGGUAGACGGGCAGCGACCACGCACAAGGGCCAACCCAGACCCUGAAUCCUCAAGCAGCCAUAAAGGAAAAGCAAAGCCCCACGUGGGUGAGCAGGCCAGCCGGACAACUACACGACUUGGUCCUUGCGGCUGCAGGCUCGCGCGGCUAGCGAAAGGCAGGCAAGAUAAAGCCUCGCUGAAGAGCGGGAAACCCGAGGUCUCGCCUUCAGGGUGAGAGAGGGAGGAAUGGACCUCCUCCUCCGUCUUUCGGUCUCUUGAGAAGGCCGCGUGGAGAAUACGCACGAGGCUGCCCCCCCCCCGCAAUUCACCGCCUCAGUGGGGGUUUUCUUGGCCCGACUCUUUUCAAACGGCUUCUAAUGAGAAAACUUACUCGGAACAACCUGGGGAGGACGUUUUCUAAUGGGGAAAUGUUUUGUUGGGUCGGGCAGUACAAAUGAUAACUACAUACCUAAAAAAAAAUAGUACCGCGCUAUUUUUGCUUAUUGGAAAGAAGUAAGCCUCACUGAAUUGAGGGACUGCCUUCCAAGCAAAACCGCACAACUUUGCAUCUUCGCGACCUCUCUCAAUUCUAUUUCUGUAGGGACUCGGACGGUUGCAACGAUUAAACCUUAUGGAAAGAAAGAAGUUUUGCAAAUGUGGCCAAAGGCUUCCUUCACGUUUGCAGACCCUGAAGACAGGCUCCGGGCUAAACCGUGGCGAGUCCUGGGUUGCCUUAAAACGAAGCCCGAUUAAAAGCUCUAUUUCGACAGCCGACCCAGAAAUAUAGUUUGAUCGUUACAAAGAGUGCAAAAGACUCUUAGUUUACUUCUAACCCAUGUUUACUUUUCAAUGCGCUUUAGUUCCGAAUAAGCGGGCAUCCACACAAUUUUAAGAUGAAUGCUCCAAUUCUUAUGCAUACGUUGGUAAAACCCAUUUGAAGAGAGUGGAACUUGCUUCUGAAGGAACAUGCGGAGAGCGGUAAUCCUAAACCGCUUUCACGGGAUGAAGACUCACUGAAUACACUGAGAUUUAUUUCCAAGCAAAACAUGGUCGGGAUUGCACACAACUUUACUUUUUUGAAUUCUAACUCCCGCCCCACGUUUCAUAAUUCAUUACCUCUUUGGGGGUAAAGCGUUUCUCUGGGACCUUUUCCAACUCAGCCAAACGGUAAUCAGUUCUGAGGUAAUAGGAAAGCAUAUUUUCUGUUGAUUAAAGAGUCUCAGAAGCUGCGCUUAUUCACCUUGCCCAGUUCUCCUGCCAUGCAACCACAUCCUAUGCAUAUUUCCAAUUAUUCAAACAGAACUUAUUUUCAGGUAUGUGUACAUAGGAGUUCGGUCUUACUUCUCAUCGACGCGCCUACCUGCAGACGGAAGGGAUCCAUGUUGCUGAGAGAUGAAUUCUUACUGCUAGAAACCAGCAGCAACCUCUUUCAACGUCCCGGCAAAGGAAAGACCCAGCACUCUGCAGACUCGCGCCAAAGCCGUUCCGAACUCGCCGGAGGCGGAGAUUAGGCACAGUUUUCCCGCGAAGGGGCUGGCGUCCUGAAAGGUUCAUAAAGAGGUCUUGCCACAUACUGCUUUUGCUUCAUUUAGUCGUGACUAAUAUAGUCUCCUUGUAAACUCCAAGCGCAGAUGCAGGUAAAGUAAACGUCACUGUAGAAACUAGCUACUUUUUAUUUUUAAUUUUUCUACUGCCGUUUGUGUUGCUGCAAGGACCUAGCUCAGUGGCGCGAAAUAGUAAUGAAGUAUUUGCAUAGAAGGAAAAGGGAGGGUUUAAUCAGGCCGUAACACGCCUAGGGAGGAAACUGUAUCUACAAGAUGAGCGGAUGUUAUAUCAUCAACAAGCAGAAUCAAGGUUUUUUUUUGGGGAGGAGGACCAUAGCUCUACAUUCAGCACAAAGAGCAAGUGAAGUUUCAGCAACUCCCAGCUCCACGCAAAACUAGACAAGACCGGCCCUUAAUGUCUUGUCCUACACUCAGGAUGACAUCACCUCUAGCCAGCUCUUCUCAUCAACCAACUCCUCACUCCAGCUCCAACCAACACCAACUGCACUCUUUAACUGCACUGUAACUGCUAUGCCAACUGACAGUAAACACCCUCCUGCCUGGACUCUCCAGCCAAUCAGAAAGAAUUUACCUGAUCAGGCCCCAUGUGCUAGAAUUGGCUUCGUGGGUUCCAAGGCAAAUCACAUUGGCUGGCAAGAGACGCCUGGAUCUGUGAAAAGGUGAGAUAAAGAGCGCUAUGGGACGGGCUGGAGCACAGUGAGAUCGCAAGGGAGAGAAGCCAUGCCACAGAAGACUGACAUUUGGAGAAGGGAACAAAAGAAAUCAAGUGGAUAGAGACGGGGUGGAAGUAGAGGUGGCAGUCGAGAAAACAUGUCCAUCUGUCCUCUUAGGAGUGGAUAAGGAACACCGAAGUCAGAUGGGCCACAGUUAGGAAUAGAAGGAUCUGUCAGGGUUGGUUCUCUCAUUUUUCCAAUCUUAAAUCCUAUUGUCCACACUUCUGUAUCCAUUUGAAUUUUUUUAAAAGAAAAAAAAAUCAUGAAAAUUAUUUAGCAUUUUAAUAAACAGUUUUGUAUGCAGUUUUGACUAAUGUACACAUUUCUGCAAGCCAUGUAAUGCUUUUUUGUAUGCUAUUUUCACUUAUAUUUUCAUUUUUCUGCACUUCCCCCUAGUACAUGCAUUUUUUGUAAACAUUGGCUCGGGAACUGCAUCGUAAACUUCAGAUAAGUGUGAAUUUUGAAGGAUGGCUGUGUUUCAGUUCUCAUAUUGUUUCAGAAAGUGCAAACUUGACAGAUUUCAGCUUUAAAUGCGAACUGAUUAGAAUUUCUCCCCCAUCCCAAACUACAACCAAGUUUAAGUGUAUGAACCUGGUCUCUUCUAACAAGGUGAAGAAAUACAUGGGGGCCUUUGAAGUACAGCUAUCCGUCUGCCCCCCCCCCUUCCAGAGAGGACAGGACUGCUUUCAAGAAUAUUUUAACUGUGACAAAUGAAUCUCCAGCCAGGAAUCUAAAUGUAGUAGAAUGAAGUGGUAGAAUUGACUGUAGCAUUUCAGAAUGCAGGUGGGGUAUCACAUUUUUGAACAGUCCUGUAUAUGAAUAAUGUUCAGCAAAUACCGCCCUGGGCUCCUACUGGGAGGAAGGGUGGGAUAUAAAACAAAUAAUAAUAAAUAAAUAAAUAUGAAACUAGCACAAGAGGAAAAGAUGUGUAGAACCUUUUGUGUUGAAUGCUAGGCGUUGUGGAGUUUCUUGCAUUUUUUUUAAAAUGUGGGAGAACAUUCAAAAUUUGUAUCCCCUUCUGUAGUCUGAAAUGGUAUAGUCCACUCAGGAUUAUUGCCACCUUAUUCUGCAUCAUGUAUAGACCAUAGACUAGACUAGGCCUUCAUUUUUCUACAUUUCAGAUAACAGCAUAGCUACAUGUUACAACUGCUGACAUGGGAAACUGAAUCCCAAAGGUCUCCCCUGCUCCCUUAACAAUUCUAAGAGGUAAGUUAGGCUGGAGUGGCUUUGGUUUAACUUUUGCCUUUCCUUGCCCUUCAAGUAGCAGAAACAGUAGAAAAACUAGGGGAGUGAAGGGGUUGAAAAGGCCAUUAUUAGACAAGCAAUUAUUUAAUCCAUGUUACAUAUAGGGCUGUAAUAUCCUGUGACUGAACGGUGGGGGAGUGAAUGGAGGGAAAGGAAAAUAUUUGUGGGAGGAGCACUCACUAUCCUUCGCUACCCCUAGGAGGAAGUCAUCCUGACUUCCGAGGUAGAAUACAGUGCCCUGGGUGAAUCAAAGGAGUAAUGUCAUGCACCUUAUUAAGUUGGAUAUUAUUUUGCAGAACAAGUCUGAGGCUUUUGUGAAAUAUGCUCAUGUAGUCUCAUUACCCUUAUAAUAUUACUAUUUUAUAUAAUAAAGAUUUCAGUUGUCCCCACUUGCCUAGAGGUACCCUGAUAAUGAUGACCUUGUGUCACAUUGUUCUUAGUCUUCCGAUCCUGAGUUGCAUUCAUGACAGUAGGUCUUACUAGCAGCUUGGAUGAUCUUUUAAAUCUUAAAAUGCUGCUAGGGUGGUCUUUUAAAUCUUCUAGUAUAUUGGGGGGAGAGGGAAAGAAGUUGUGUAAAACCAAGGGGAAACUGUUCCUCCCCACUCACCACCUAAGAUCAAAAGAUUUGAAAACAAAACCCUUGCCUUUUCCUUUUCAUAAUAGACAAAUAUGCUGAGGUUUGUUUCACUGUGGUUUAAAAAGAAAACUAGGUUAAAAACUUAUUUAAACAUUGUUCAAUCCUGAGUAUGUUUACUUGGAAGAAAGUACUGUUUACUGCAGUGGGAUUGCAGUUUAGGACUGUAGUCUUAGACAACAAAUCCUACCCCAAAAGAACCUCAACAGAAUUACAGCACAUGCUAAUAAGUUUAGCUUUAGUACAAUUAAAAUGCAAUUCAUAAAAAGUUUGCCAUAUGCUAAUAAAUAGUCAUACCAAAAAAAAGAAAAAAUAAGAGCUAUCAAGGCAGUUUUUCUCACUGUUAUGCUGGUUGUUCUCUGAAGAAUAUUACAUUAUUUCCUGAUCAUUAAAAUAAGUCUAAUGGAAGGGUGUGGGGCUGUAUCUUUAAAUGGAGGAUUAAGGAUCCCCAUCAUCCGACAACAACAGCCUGGAGGUGCUGGGGUGGGGUGAGCAGUCAGGGAGAAACCAACUCAGCAGAAUGGGAUACUUUAAUGAGAGUUGCAUAAUAAGAAAAAGAUAACCUUUCCAGUCACAUUUUUCAGUCAUCAUGUGCAGGUUAAGUGUGGAAGGCAGUUGCUUUUUGUGGACGUGUCCAUACUGGCUCCAGCUGUCAGAAACUAUAAUGCACACUGAUUUCCAUUUAAUGGUUGUGGAACUACUAAAUUAAAGCCAUGAGCAUCUGACUAGAAGCAGACAAAUAAGGAAGGAUAACUUGCAGCAUGUUAACAUUCAGAAUUAAAACAAUGGAAUCAUAUUCACCCGAUGCUGAGGCUGCAGUGAGUAGAAACCCCACCAACCCACCCCCUGCUGUGAAUGUGUGGUUUGGUCUCCAUGAGAGGUAGUAUCUUCAUGUUAAAUAGCUCUUUCAAGAUUCCCAUCGCAGGUCAUCUCACAUUCAUUGUCAAACAUUUUUUCCUUGUUUUCUCAGUGGAAACUAAAAUGUUCUG